AGUCAUUAUUUUCGAUUAACAUCCAAAAACUUUUGAUAAGUAUAUAAAAGUAAAAUAUUUUUUUUUGGAGAUUUAUAAAAUUAUUUUUGCGAAAAUUAAGAAUGAAUAUUAUAGACAAUCGCGCUUUUUUUCUUCUAUUAUGUGUCAUAUCAACCAUAAUGUUAGUCAAAGGACGUUCAAAACGAUAUCACGACCCGUACUGCCCCUGUAAACCUGAUACCUGCCCGCCUCUCUGCUAUAUGUACUGCCAAUACGGAAAUGUCUUAGAUAAUAAUGGUUGCCCAAUAUGCAAGUGCAAAGAACCUGAAGUAUGCCCCCCUGUCUGCAAAAUUUAUUGUCCAUUCGGAAACGUCUUAAAUGGGGAUGGAUGCCCUAUAUGCGAAUGUAACCCUGACCUUAAGACUACAGCGAUUCCUUUCACCACUGAUGAUGUUAACAAUGGUAAUGACGGGGACCAUGAUGGCGAUGGUGACCAUGACGGGCGCCAUGAUGGGGGUUAUGAGCAUGGCGACUAUCAUAAACAAAUACAUUAUUGAAACCUUUUGGGAUGAUACUUUAGAGAAUAUUUUAUACAAUUUUUUUGAUUUAUAUUUUUGAAAUUCUUAUAUAUUUAGCAAUAAAUUUAAAUAAAUUAUAUGUGUUAUUUUGAUUA